rnacentral:misc_RNA from 1 species
AACAAAAUAUCCCCAAUUAUUAGUCAUAUUGGCGACUAUAAUAGCCCAUGUUGGCAACUUGGACAGAAGGCGGCUAAGAGGUAGGUGCUUCGCAUUAUGACGAGAAGAAUCAACUUUCCCCGCUUCGAUUAAUCUCAACUCUGAUGUGCUGAUAUUUUGACUCUCUCUGGGGUUAUUCAUGACUCCUGGAAUCCAAGACAUCAACCAGACAAGCCCAAGUGAUGAGAAUAACAAGAACGGGCCGGUGACUCCAAUGGACGAUAGCAUGAUGGGAGUUAAUAGCAAUCCCACAACAUUGCCAAGAUGAAAAC